rnacentral:rRNA from 1 species
UCGGGAAUUUUGGGCAAUGGGGGAAACCCUGACCCAGCAACGCCGCGUGAAGGAUGAAGUAUUUCGGUAUGUAAACUUCGAAAGAAUAGGAAGAAUAAAUGACGGUACUAUUUAUAAGGUCCGGCUAACUACGUGCCAGCAGCCGCGGUAAUACGUAGGGACCAAGCGUUGUUCGGAUUUACUGGGCGUAAAGGGCGCGUAGGCGGCAUGACAAGUCACUUGUGAAAUCUCUGGGCUUAACCCAGAACGGCCAAGUGAUACUGUCGCGCUAGAGUGCAGAAGGGGCAAUCGGAAUUCUUGGUGUAGCGGUGAAAUGCGUAGAUAUCAAGAGGAACACCUGAGGCGAAGGCGGGUUGCUAGGCUGAUACUGACGCUGAGGCGCGAAAGCUAGGGUAGCAAACAGGAUUAGAUACCCCCGUAGUCCCUGAGCGGGCUGGCAAGGCGCAU